rnacentral:rRNA from 1 species
GACGAACGUUGGCGGCGUGCUUAAUACAUGCAAGUCAACUGAAGCAGUGGUAGCAAUAUCGCUGUGGAGGUGGCGCACGGGUGAGUAACACGUAGGUAAUCUGCCUUCAGGUCUGGCAUAACUCCGGGAAACCGGGGCUAAUAGCAGAUGAUGCAGCGGCUCGACAUCGAGACAGUUGUUAAAGCUAUGGCGCCUGAAGAUGAGCCUGCGUCUGAUUAGCUAGUUGGCGGGGUAACGGCCCACCAAGGCAACGAUCAGUAGCUAGUCUGAGAGGAUGAUCAGCCACACUGGAACUGAGACACGGUCCAGACUCCUACAGGAGGCAGCAGUAAGGAAUAUUGCUCAAUGGGAGAAAUCCUGAAGCAGCAACGCCGCGUGAGGGACGAAGGGCUUUUGCUUGUAAACCUCUGUAGUAAGAGAAAAAAAUCCCAAUCUUUGGGACAUGAUGGUAUCUCAAAAGUAAGCCCCGGCUAACUACGUG